rnacentral:RNase_P_RNA from 1 species
UAAGUAAGACAGACGAUCGCGGUCGGGCGCGUAAGCGUCCGGGUGAGGAAAGUCCGGGCUUCAUAGGGCAGGAUGCCGGAUAACGUCCGGUGGAGGUGACUCCAAGGCCAGUGCAACAGAAAUAUACCGCAGGAGAAAUGCUACGCAUUUCCCCUGUAAGGGUGGAAAGGUAGCUUAAGAGACUACCGUCCGUCCGGUAACGGGCGGAGCCAUGUAAACCCCAUCCGAAGCAAGACCAAAAAGAAAGCGACAGGUCGGCCCGGCCUGCUUUCAGGUGGGUCGCUAGAUGCGGCUGGCAACAGCCGUGCCAGAUAGAUGAUCGUCCAACGACAUAACCCGGCUUAUCGUCUUGCUUACACC